rnacentral:rRNA from 1 species
ACCUGGUUGAUCCUGCCAAUAG